rnacentral:rRNA from 1 species
AUAAUUGAUCUCGAAUUUAAAGAUUUAAUUAAAAAUUUUAAGUUUAUGUUAAAUUAUAAUUAUUAAUUUUUAAUUGGAAGUGAAAUAUUAAUCAAUUUUAAAUAUAUCUAGUUUUUUUAGAAUUGAAUUUAAUUCAGCUUUAAAAUUUAUUUAGAUUUAUAAAAUUUAUUUUAUUAAAAUUAAUUUUAAAGUAAAUAUAGUUGGGAUAAAUUGAUUAUAUGAAGUUAUAAAUUAAUUUUUAAUAAUUUGUUAUUAUAAAUAAUAUUAAAAUUAUAUAUUUUUAAUAAAAAUGUUUAAAUUUAUAAAUUAUAUUUUUUUAAAAAUUAUUAAAUUUGAAUUUUAAUUUUUUAUAAAAAUUUAUUAAUUAAUAAUUAAUUAUAAAAAAUAAUGAUUAUAUUAGUAAAAUAUUUUAAUGUUUAAAUAAUUUAAAUAGUAAAUGAAUAAAUAAAUUUAAGGAAUUAGGCAAAAAUUUUAAUUUUUAAAUUUGUAUUUACCUGUUUAUCAAAAACAUGUCUUAUUGAUGAAAAUAAUAAGUUUAUUCUGCCCAUUGAAUAUUAAAAUUUAAAAGGCUGCAGUAUAAUGACUGUACAAAGGUAGCAAAAUCAAUAGUUUUUUAAUUGAAAACUGGAAUGAAAGAAUUAAUAAAAUAUAUUCUGUCUCAAAUUUAAUAUUUAAUUAAAUUUAAAUAAGAAGUUAAAAUGCUUUUAUAAAUUUAUUAGACGAUAAGACCCUAAGAAUUUAAUAUAAUUUUUUUAUAGAAAUAUUUUAUGAAUUUAUAUAUAUAUAUAUAUAUAAUUAAAUUUAUAUUUUAUUGGGAGGGUAAUUAAAUUUUUGAAACUUUAAUUAUUUAUAAACAUAGAUAAAUGGUUAUUUAAUGAUAAUGUUAAUACUUAUAAGAAUAAAUUACCUUAG